GACGAACGCUGGCGGCGUGCUUAACACAUGCAAGUCGAACGGAAAGGCCCUGCUUUUGUGGGGUGCUCGAGUGGCGAACGGGUGAGUAACACGUGAGUAACCUGCCCUUGACUUUGGGAUAACUUCAGGAAACUGGGGCUAAUACCGGAUAGGAGCUCCUGCUGCAUGGUGGGGGUUGGAAAGGUUCGGCGGUUGGGGAUGGACUCGCGGCUUAUCAGCUUGUUGGUGGGGUAGUGGCUUACCAAGGCUUUGACGGGUAGCCGGCCUGAGAGGGUGACCGGCCACAUUGGGACUGAGGUACGGACCAGACUCCUACGGGAGGCAGCAGUGGGGAAUAUUGCACAGUGGGCGGAAGCCUGAUGCAGCAACGCCGCGUGCGGGAUGACGGCCUUCGGGUUGUAAACCGCUUUCGCCUGUGACGAAGCGUGAGUGACGGUAAUGGGUAAAGAAGCACCGGCUAACUACGUG
rnacentral:rRNA from 1 species